rnacentral:rRNA from 1 species
GUGGGGAAUCUUAGACAAUGGGCGCAAGCCUGAUCUAGCCAUGCCGCGUGAGCGAUGAAGGCCUUAGGGUUGUAAAGCUCUUUCAGCUGGGAAGAUAAUGACGGUACCAGCAGAAGAAGCCCCGGCUAACUCCGUGCCAGCAGCCGCGGUAAUACGGAGGGGGCUAGCGUUGUUCGGAAUUACUGGGCGUAAAGCGCACGUAGGCGGAUCAGAAAGUCAGAGGUGAAAUCCCAGGGCUCAACCUUGGAACUGCCUUUGAAACUCCUGAUCUUGAGGUCGAGAGAGGUGAGUGGAAUUCCGAGUGUAGAGGUGAAAUUCGUAGAUAUUCGGAGGAACACCAGUGGCGAAGGCGGCUUCCUGGACAGUAACCGACGCUGAGACGCGAAAGCGUGGGGAGCAAACAGGAUUAGAUACCCGGGUAGUCC